ACCUACGGGACGCAGCAGUGGGGGAUAUUGCACAAUGGGGGGAACCCUGAUGCAGCGACGCCGCGUGGGUGAAGAAGCGCCUCGGCGCGUAAAGCCCUGUCAGCAGGGAAGAAAAUGACGGUACCUGGGGAGGAAGCUCCGGCUAACUACGUGCCAGCAGCCGCGGUAAUACGUAGGGAGCAAGCGUUGUCCGGAAUUACUGGGUGUAAAGGGAGCGUAGGCGGGGAUGCAAGUUGGGUGUCAAAACUAUCGGCUCAACCGAUAGUCGCACUCAAAACUGCAGCUCUUGAGUGAAGUAGAGGCAG
rnacentral:rRNA from 1 species